rnacentral:rRNA from 1 species
AUGCAGUCGAGCGGUAGAGAGGUGCUUGCACCUCUUGAGAGCGGCGGACGGGUGAGUAAAGCCUAGGAAUCUGCCUGGUAGUGGGGGAUAACGCUCGGAAACGGACGCUAAUACCGCAUACGUCCUACGGGAGAAAGCAGGGGACCUUCGGGCCUUGCGCUAUCAGAUGAGCCUAGGUCGGAUUAGCUAGUUGGUGAGGUAAUGGCUCACCAAGGCGACGAUCCGUAACUGGUCUGAGAGGAUGAUCAGUCACACUGGAACUGAGACACGGUCCAGACUCCUACGGGAGGCAGCAGUGGGGAAUAUUGGACAAUGGGCGAAAGCCUGAUCCAGCCAUGCCGCGUGUGUGAAGAAGGUCUUCGGAUUGUAAAGCACUUUAAGUUGGGAGGAAGGGCAUUAACCUAAUACGUUAGUGUUUUGACGUUACCGACAGAAUAAGCACCGGCUAACUCUGUGCCAGCAGCCGCGGUAAUACAGAGGGUGCAAGCGUUAAUCGGAAUUACUGGGCGUAAAGCGCGCGUAGGUGGUUCGUUAAGUUGGAUGUGAAAUCCCCGGGCUCAACCUGGGAACUGCAUUCAAAACUGUCGAGCUAGAGUAUGGUAGAGGGUGGUGGAAUUUCCUGUGUAGCGGUGAAAUGCGUAGA